GGAGUAUAAGCAGUCAAAGUAUAAAUGGUCGUGUGUUUCUUCAGUGUCUCUUCCACAUAAAAUGCAGGAUUAAUUAAUGUGAAUUCCCCAUUUAGCUAACCUGUCAACUGUUGCUAAGCGUCUAUGCAGCGCCAUCCAUAAGAUGUAUUUCUGUUUCGGGAGCAUGCCAGUCACGAUCAAUAAUUUUUUCCAUCGAACCUCGGGAUUUUGUGGGGUGGUGUGAAUGUAUGCCUUCCUGAGGCUAAAUUGCCCAAUUUUUGUACAUGUUUGCAUUCCUGUUCCGUCAGUUGCCCACCAUUCUCUUGCGCCAAACAAUUUCCUAACGAGCCAGCUAGCUUGUUUAGGAAUUACCAUAGUAUUAAUGUCUUUUUUCUUUAUGUAGUUACAAUGGAUCCAUUUGAUCCGGAGUUUGUCUUUCUUAGACAUUAAGGCCCAGAGAAGUUUUGAUAGUGCCGCUUU
rnacentral:lncRNA from 1 species